AUUGAACGCUGGCGGCAGGCCUAACACAUGCAAGUCGAGCGGAGCGGCGGACGGGUGAGAAAUGUCUGGGAAACUGACGGUUGGAGGGGGAGAACUCCUGGAAACGGUGGCUAAUACCGCAUACCAUCAGAUGUGCCCAGAUGGGAUUAGCUAGUGGGUGGGGUAAAGGCCUACCAAGGCGACGAUCAGUAACUGGUCUGAGAGGAUGAUCAGUCACACUGGAACUGAGACACGGUCCAGACUCCUACGGGAGGCAGCAGUGGGGAAUAUUGUACAAUGGGCGAAAGCCUGAUACAGCCAUGCCGCGUGUGUGAAGAAGGUCUUCGGAUUGUAAAGCACUUUAAGUUGGGAGGCGUUACCAACAGAAUAAGCACCGGCUAACUUCGUGCCAGCCGCCGCGGUAAUAC
rnacentral:rRNA from 1 species